GGCAAAGUGGCCGAGCGGUCUAAGGCGCCACGUUAAGGUUCAUCCUUAAUCACUCUCUAUUCCUAUCGUAUUAUUACGGGUUAUGUAAUAGCAGCUCUCCGUGGUCCGAAAGGGCGUGAGUUCGAAUCUCACCUUUGUCA